AUGAAGCAAUCGGCCGUUUUUGCUGCGCUAGCUCUCGCCGUCGUGGUCACCGCGGCGGUGCUGCUUCCCGGAGCGACAGUGGCGGCGGUCGCGACGCGGCCGGCCAAGUACACGUACCAGGAGGACGCAAGCAGCGACUUCAUAAGGAGCGUGGGCACGUUCUCGGUGACCGUGUACAAGCUGGCCCACGGGUUCAACAUGUACUACACGAGCACGUCACAGUGCUGGUCCGUGGCGUCAGGGGAGGGCUACGAGUACUGGAUGGUGCUCACGGCAAAGAACGGCGGGGUCUACGGCAGGUAUGUGUCCAUCGUCUGGGGCAUCCCGGGGUCCGAGUCCAGGACGUGGAAGCUCCUCAGCUUCAGCAGCACCGACUGA
rnacentral:rRNA from 1 species